UGAAAAACUGCUUUUAUCAGUUUUUUCAAAUUAUCUUUCACCAAAAAACCUAAAGGGUAUAAAAGCAACGGUGAAGAACUUUCCAGUAAUAGUGCACGUUUCUCAGUAAAGACGAUCAAAAGUAUUAAUUCAGGAUGCCUGGUUGCUCUUCUCGUUCUUGUGCUUCUUGCCCUAAGCCAAAAUCCAAAGCCAAAUCAUCGACCAAGGUCAAGAAACCGGCAGCGAAAAAAUCUGCAACGAAAACUACAACGAAGAGAAAAACUUGCGGUCCAUGCUCUCCUUGCGGUCCUUGUGGUUCUUGUGGGCCUAAGAAGACCAAAUCAAGUACGAAGGUAUGAAAGUACAAGAAAACAACCCGCCGCCGCACCAACAACCGUUGCGGAUACAGCUCCUCUUCCGAUUACAGCAGUUCCGAGACGUGCAGCUGCUCAGAAUGCUGCUCUGAUAGCACUUCCGACAGCUUCUUUUCUUCAGACUACGACACCACCGAUAGCAGCGACUGCUGUGCUGCUCCAAGAAGAGGAUGCUCCAGGCGCUAAGUGCACUUACAACGCUGGUCGUUAUUUUAUUUUUUUAUGUAAGUUAGUGUAUUUUUAGUAUUAGUCUUAGUGUUUAACUUGUCAAAUUAUCUACUCGAAAACUAUGUUUAACAUGUAUUAUUUUAAGUACUUAUUUUAUAUUUCAAUGACUGAUGUAUGCCUAGUGAAUAAAUAAUGUAAUGAUGAUAAUUGAAUAAUAAAGUUUCCAGACGAAA